AUGGAAAGUAUUGAUGACUACACUCGGAGCAAGCCUUGUCGCGACGCUGCAAGUGUUGCCCCCCUCCUCCCAAAGGGCAAGGUGAAGGAAGGUGCCUGUGUGGUUCUUCUGCAGCUCGCAGCGAGGAUUGUUGUGUCCAACCUGCACAAGAAUGCCAAGAAGUCCUUCUCGAAGACGAUUAAGGACAUGUACAAGCACUACAACGAGAGAUCUGGGUUGCUUCUUUGUGGCUUCCAAACUUGGAAAUGUUUGUCUGAAAAUCCGGGACAAAUGAGACGGUCCAGCGCGCGGGCGCAAACGGACUUUUGUCCGCUUUGUGUCCGCUUUCGACCCAUCCGCGGACCAAGUUUGCGCCGUUUUUGGGGUGAAACGGACACCACGCAGACGCGCGGGUUGUCUGCGCGUGUCCUCCCCUGGCCCGCCCGUCGGUGGCACGGGACGGGCCUUUUUCUAUCCGCCCCCCUCCCUCCCUCCCUCCGGCCGCAUCCACUCCACUCUUCCCCUCUCUUCCCCUCGCCGCCGCCGGCCGCCCGCUGCCAUUGCAGCCGUGCAACUCGGACGUGCGCUUGCCCAGCCCCUUCCUCUCGUCGCCGCCGAGCUACCCAAGCACGGCCACCUUGUUUGCGCACCGGCCGGCCGGAUUUGGGGCGGAUCCGGUCGGUCUUGAGCUCGCCCGGCUAUGAGAGGCCGGCCCGCGCCAUGGACUGGUCGGGCACCUUGCCGGAAGGCCCUGGCAGGGCCGCAAGGCCACAUGCAGGCAGUGGCUCGUCCUCUAGCCGCUCGGAUCUGCACCAUCGGUGGUCCGCCGGCAGAUACGCGAAUGGCAGCCGGCCGGGCUCGAUGCUUGCCCAAAAGCUCGUCGGCGCACCGUUGCCCCUCAUCAAGUGCGACCACUGCCCAAGGGUGGUCGUGCGCCGCGUGUCUACAACACCGAAGCAUCCGGGAUGGGUGUUCAUCAAGUGCUUAAACGAUGGUGAUGAGGCAAAUGGAUGCGGCCGCGCGCUGGGCGCACGGCCACCGCAUCCCAGGACAGGCACAGCAUCCCUUGUGUGCGGCAUCGCGCAGGUGCGGCGACGGCGACCGCAGACGAAAAUUUCUUUUACGUAUCCGCGACAACGUCUAAGAGAGCACCGGUUGGGGGCUGAGGCUCUUCCUCCUCCCGGCGUGUCCUGCGUGUGCGGCAUCCCGUUGUCUUCCUCACGACCCGGUUGCGGAGGUUGCCGGACCCAACCACCGAGGAGGAAGUCGUGGCCAUCUGGUCAGCCGCGUCAAGCUCUGUCGCAGCACCCUCUCACUUCACGCUCGUGCCCGGACAAGGCAGCAACUGGUGGUCACGGCGUGGCGCAUGGCAAUCCUGCCAGUUCAUAUGCUCACCGCUAUUGUUGUGAGCUCACUGCUACCAUCUGCAUGUUGUUGAUGUUUCUAGCUUGUUGUGGUGCAUGGCCGGAGCCGAACCAGACCAGCAUCUCCCUCACGUUCACAAGAUUAUACCUCGGCCUAAGCAACAAAGCAGUGGAGCUCGCACAGGGUUCCAACUCACAAGCCGUAGCGGAGCUCGCACAGCAAGCGCUGGAGAUCGUUAUCGUUCACGGAGGGGUGGCGCAGCUCUAG
rnacentral:rRNA from 1 species